CAGCCGCCACGGUAAUACGAAGGGUGCAAGCGUUACUCGGAAUUACUGGGCGUAAAGCGUGCGUAGGUGGUGGUUUAAGUCCGUUGUGAAAGCCCUGGGCUCAACCUGGGAAUUGCAGUGGGUACUGGGUCACUAGAGUGUGGUAGAGGAUAGUGGAAUUUCCGGUGUAGCAGUGAAAUGCGUAGAGAUCGGAAGGAACAUCUGUGGCGAAGGCGACUAUCUGGGCCAACACCGACACUGAGGCACGAAAGCGUGGGGAGCAAACAGGAUUAGAUACCCGCGUAGUCCCUGUCUCUUAUAC
rnacentral:rRNA from 1 species